GACGAACGCUGGCGGCGUGCUUAACACAUGCAAGUCGAACGAAGUGGCGAACGGGUGAGUAACGCGUAAUCAACCUGCCCUUCAGAGGGGGACAACAGUUGGAAACGACUGCUAAUACCGCAUACUGAAGGAGGGGCUUGCGUCUGAUUAGCUAGUUGGAGGGGUAACGGCCCACCAAGGCGAGGAUCAGUAGCCGGUCUGAGAGGAUGAACGGCCAAAUUGGGACUUGGACACGGGCCAGACUCCGACGGGAGGCAGCAGGGGGGAAUUUUCCGGAAUGGACGAAAGUCUGAAGGAGGAACGCCGGGUGAGGGAGGACGGCCUUCGGGUUGUAAAGCUCUGUUAAUCGGGACGCGGUACCGGAAUAGAAAGCCACGGCUAACUACGUGCCAGCAGCCGCGGUAAUAC
rnacentral:rRNA from 1 species